UACGGAGAGUGCAAACGUUGUUCGGAUUCACUGGGCGUAAAGGGCACGUAGGCGGCUCGGCAAAUCGGUCGUGGAAUCCCGACGCUUACCGUCGGAACGGCGGCCGAAAAUACCGGGCUCGAGGGCGUGAGGGGUCACUGGAACUCCUGGUGAAGCGGUGAAAUGCGUAGAUAUCAGGAGGAACGCCGGAGGCGAAAGCGAGUGACUGGCGCGUUCCUGACGCUGAGGUGCGAAAGUGUGGGGAGCGAACAGG
rnacentral:rRNA from 1 species